UGUACGUAUCAUUCUCUUGGACUGGUGGCAAGGUCCGCUGCUCAAACAGUUAACUUUUUUCUGACAAAGCAGUGACUGUGUUUGGAAUUCCAAAUAUAAAGGAUACUCACUUUCUCCAUUUCUGAGGGAAACUUGGGCUCUCAGCCAGGUCAGUCGUCUGCCAGAUACUGAGCUUGCAAUAGUACAUUUGGGGCUGGAUAGAAGACAUAGGGAGGGAAGAGAAGAGAUGGGAGGAACACAAGGGAAAUAGGAGAGAGGUGUGGUAGGGUGACUUUGCAGGACAAAAUCCACCAAUGAAGAAUGAGGCCUAAUCUGCUGACGAGAGCAGCAAAUGAGACAGGAGACUAGCUCUACCCAUCUCUGCUGCCAAUGGCUGAAUGACUUAGGACCUGGCCUGCAGCUUCUUCUGCCUGGAAAGACUGAGCUAUUUUGGAACUGAACCAAUUACCAAUUAAGAGCAGCAAGACCCUUAGGCUGAUCCUUACAAUGUACAAUGCUGGAGUUAAACUGACACGUGUGAGAAAGGUGUGAGCUCUUGACUGGGACAAAGCAGUUUCCACGUCUCACAUGGCGAUGUCCACGGCUUUCACAGAGAGGUUGACAGUGAAAGGGAAGGCAGGAUCAGGAACCAAGGACUGCUCCUCUCAUCAUCAUCCAUGGAAAAGCAUCAUUCCAGGGGCUUCCCAGCUACUUCCUCUCACCUCAUGGUUCAUCUGUAAUCACUCAGCCUCCAAGGUUGGAAAGACACAGGCUGAAGAAGUACCAUGAUUUCCUGUUCCUUACCACCAAAGACCUAUUUAUUAUUAUUUUCCUCAGACUUGGAUC